UACGGGGGGUGCGAGCGUUGUCCGGAAUCACUGGGCGUAAAGGGCGCGUAGGUGGCUUUGUAAGUUUGCGGUGAAAGCCCGGGGGCUCAACCCCGGGUCUGCCGUGGAUACUGCAAGGCUUGAGUACUGUAGAGGCAGGUAGAAUAUCGGGUGUAGCGGUGGAAUGCGUAGAGAUCCGAUAGAAGACCGGUGGCGAAGGCGGCCUGCUGGGCAGUAACUGACACUGAGGCGCGACAGCGUGGGGAGCAAACAGG
rnacentral:rRNA from 1 species